GAUGAACGCUAGCGGCAGGCUUAAUACAUGCAAGUCGAGGGGCAGCACAGGUAGCAAUACUGGGUGGCGACCGGCAAACGGGUGCGGAACACGUACACAACUUACCUUAGAGUGGGGGAUAGCCCAGGGAAACUUGGAUUAAUACCCCAUAAAACAGGGGGCCCGCAUGGGCAUAUUGUUAAAGAUUUAUCGCUUUAAGAUGGGUGUGCGUAUGAUUAGGUAGUUGGUAGGGUAAAGGCCUACCAAGCCGACGAUCAUUAACUGGUGUGAGAGCACGACCAGUCACACGGGCACUGAGACACGGGCCCGACUCCUACGGGAGGCAGCAGUAAGGAAUAUUGGUCAAUGGACGGAAGUCUGAACCAGCCAUGCCGCGUGAAGGAUGAAGGUCCUCUGGAUUGUAAACUUCUUUUAUAGGGGGCGAAAAAGGGCCAUUCUUGGUCAACUGACGGUACCCUAUGAAUAAGCACCGGCUAACUCCGUGCCAGCAGCCGCCGUAACAC
rnacentral:rRNA from 1 species